AGUCUGUAUAUCCCGAGUGCAAAGUAAUUCAUGUCUUUGUACCGUUUACAAUAUAGAUAAAGAAGAGCGAAGAACCUUAAUUCUCUUACUGUCUUCAUUGGUAAGCGAAUCCAUUCUUCCAACAACU
rfam:Tetrahymena thermophila SB210 genomic scaffold scf_8254659, whole genome shotgun sequence.